ensembl:lncRNA
AUGGACUCUGCGGUAAAAAUGUGCGCAAACACCGAAAUGGUGCACGUCCAAUGCAAGACCAAGUGUUUCCCUCUGCUGACCGAUGAACAGAAUGGCAAUGACUUGCCGAGUCCCGUUAACCCCUCUCCAGACUGUGCCAGGAGCACCAGCAGCCUAAGCAGUAGGAGUGUGGAAAGUCCACCUGACGUAGAGAUGUUUGAGUGUCUCAGCGAUGGCAAUUCAGGGGAGGGUGAUCCCACAUGCUCUUCAAGCCCCCCUACAGUGUCUCCAACCCUUUUUAAAGUCAACAGAAACACCACCAUCCAACCCCUGAACGUGACAAUGGAUAUUACCGACCUCCAAAAUGGCUCGUACAUACAGCACGGCAGUGUUGAUGGCAGUAGCAGGGACUCAAGUCCGCUCCUGUCCUCUGCCAGGCUGGGCACGCCGGACAGUUCCUCCCUGCCAUCCUCCUUUAGCUCCAGUGACGGCUCCAUCGACCGGGUCCUGCGUUGCAACAGUGACGGCUCCAUGGACCGGGUCCUGCGUAGCAACAGCUUCUGCCUGCAGGACUCAGACCAGGUCUUCAGCAUCUCCUACCUGGCGGAGUCGGCAGGCUCCCCAGCCACACCCUCCGACCUGGACAUGCCCCAUGACGCACUCACUUACUGGGGCCCUGGUGGCACCCCAAAAGAGGACGUGAAGCACCUGCGCCUUGGAGACGACCUCUUGAGUCCCAACAACCAGACCUAUUUCUUGGAGGAAUGCGCAGGGCAAUCAGCACUCAAUGUUGUAGCAAAGGCCAGAGGGUCGCCUUUCACCCCGGAGCCUUGCAGGAGUGCUAACUCUGUUGUUAAGUUGCUGCACAGUAAUACCCUGGGAUCUGGUCAGCUCAUGACUGCUGGGGACAAGACUUUUGUGGUGCCUGGCCCUGAGGACGUUGACCCAAGCAAAGUACAAACUUCCACACCAGUGCAGUCCUUAGGCAACAAGACCUUCUGCCUACCAACCCUCAACGAAUCACCCUUCACAGAAGAACCGGGAGACCAGGGAAGCUCGAAAGCUGAUGGUAUAAAACAACAGCCUGUAUCUGGCACCACAAGAACAACGGGUGUGGUAAAGGCCGCUGCAGUUGCGCCCAAAGUCAAAAAGCCUGAUUUGAGUUCUGUCAGGUCAAAGAUCAUGUCAAGGCAGGCAAGCACACAAAAAUCGUCAAAUCUGCCGGUUGUGAAAGCUUCCCCUCUUUGUUCUUCUAAACGUAUGGGGGAACAGGUUCAGAGGCCAUCUCAUCCCACACCGAGUAAACCCUCCCCUACUGUGUCAACAUCAUCCGCUGUUUCUAGUCCCUCUGUGUCGUCUAACAAGUUUGCUCUAAGUAAGGGAAAGGCGCCCCCUUCAGGCCAACAAGAGAAGCCACCUGCAAGUCACACAAAGCUGAUGUUCCCCAAGGCUCGGCCUCGUCUGUGGUCUGACAGUUCUCUCGUGCCCAAAUCAAAGCCUGACACCCAACACCAGAGGGGAAAAACAGUCCCUCCUAGUUUUAUAGCUAAGGUCUACAAGGCUGUCACUCAGUCCAAGGCUGUUUCGGCAAACCUCAAACGGCAGUUGCAGUUCAAACAGGGAGAUCGGAAUGGCUCCGCAUCAUCUCAAGAGAGUUCUAGAGAGACUUCUAGAGAGUCCCGAAAGGAGCUCCCAAAAAUAAGCCCCAAAGUAAGUUGA